AAAAUGCGAUACGUAGUGUGAAUUGCAGAAUUCCGUGAACCAUCGAAUCUUUGAACGCAUAUUGCGCUCGAGGCCUCGGCCGAGAGCAUGUCUGCCUCAGCGUCGGGUUAAUCCUCGCUCCCACUUCCCCUAGGGGUUGUGUGUGGGCGGAGCUGGCAGUCCCAGUGCGCGCAAGUGCGCUGGGUCUGCUGAAGCCAAGAGGUUGAAUCAUGGACCCGUCAAACGGGCCGCAGUUGGUUAGGCAGCCUCGUGCUCGCUCUCAUCUAGCUGUUGGCUCGGGUUAGUGUGUUCGACCCUCUAAACAGGAACCCCUUAACGUCAUUACCUCGACCUGAGCUCAGGCAAGAACACCCGCUGAACUUAA
rnacentral:misc_RNA from 1 species